rnacentral:rRNA from 1 species
AUUGAACGCUGGCGGCAGGCCUAACACAUGCAAGUCGAGCGGAUGAAGGGAGCUUGCUCCUGGAUUCAGCGGCGGACGGGUGAGUAAUGCCUAGGAAUCUGCCUGGUAGUGGGGGAUAACGUCCGGAAACGGGCGCUAAUACCGCAUACGUCCUGAGGGAGAAAGUGGGGGAUCUUCGGACCUCACGCUAUCAGAUGAGCCUAGGUCGGAUUAGCUAGUUGGUGGGGUAAAGGUCUACCAAGGCGACGAUCCGUAACUGGUCUGAGAGGAUGAUCAGUCACACUGGAACUGAGACACGGUCCAGACUCCUACGGGAGGCAGCAGUGGGGAAUAUUGGACAAUAGGCGAAAGCCUGAUCCAGCCAGGCCGCGUGUGUGAAGAAGGUCUUCGGAUUGUAAAGCACUUUAAGUUGGGAGGAAGGGCAGUAAGUUAAUACCUUGCUGUUUUGACGUUACCAACAGAAUAAGCACCGGCUAACUUCGUG